GGGCCUUUAGCUCAGUUGGUAGAGCGCCACGUUUACACCGUGGAUGUCAUCGGUUCGAGCCCGGUAGGGCCCACGA
rnacentral:tRNA from 1 species